rfam:Environmental sequence ctg14839, whole genome shotgun sequence.
CCGCGGGUGCGAAUCCCGCCCGGUAACUUUCGUUCCAACCGGUAGCAACUGGAGCAGACGUGGAGGUAACGAAGCGGCUGAAGCCUCUGGUGUAGAGGGUUCUGUAAGGAACUUGGCGAGCAUGCAGGCCGUAACGUGA